AAUAGCCACUAGGGGAGCCUUCAUGCAAGCGGGGCUGAGAUAAAGAAGCGAAUUCUUUGACCCUUGGAACCUGAUUACGGCAGUCCGCAGAACGCGGACGGCAACUGGAUCAUACCAGCGUAGGGAAGUGGACGAAUGUUUAC
rnacentral:ncRNA from 1 species